GUGCUCGCUCGACUAUAAAUAAUGCACAAUUAGCGCUGGAAAUUGAUAAUCGACAAAGCCAAUUGAUGGGCCACCGACUGAACCUGAAACUGAAGCCGCAACCGAAGGAUAAUGGGAUACCGACCUAAUGGGAUCCUUAGUGAGCGGCGAAAAGGAUGUGUGGUACAAACUGUUUUCAAUGAAAUGUACAAACCCCAUCAAAUUACCAAAUCACGGCCAUCAUCCAUAAUUUAUACUAAAUAGGUAAGUAAUUACAGGCCGGAACAAUCUGAAUUAUUUGGAAUGCCGGGUGCCAUCCCCCUUAUCAACGACUCCUUCUAUUGAUUUUACACGCAUUUCCCACUCGACCACGAGUUCAUAUACCUAUGUGAGAGGAAUACAGGACCGCGUUAAGGGGCAUAUCUAUAACUUGGGCUUGUCCGCUGAGGUCAAAGACACACACAGACCACCGGUUCCUUACCCACACCCACCGCCCACCUAAUGGAACCGAAUGUUCUGUGUGUGACCGAGGUGCCUCCGACGUCAUAUACUCACUUUAUAUAUCCGGAGGGCCAGCCCCUGCGUCAGUUAAUUCAAUUUCAUUGAUAACACGGCCGGGUGGAGAUACCUGCGGAACAUAUUUAAUGGGACACACGGCCUGACAGAAGCACUGGAAGUGAUGGAAAUAUGUGUACAUGGAGGGAAAUGGUUUAUCCUGGAAAUACAUGGUUAUUCUGUAAGCACUUCACAGCAACAUGAACUCAUUUCGCUUAACAAAUUUCAAUUGUAUUACUAGUAUUCUAAUUAUAACUAUUUUAUAAAAUAAUAUUUCAAAAAUGUG